UGUUCCUCCCUGCAGAGAGACAGACGGACUGAAAGACAGACGAUCAGAUUCACCUUCAGACCAAACUAACACCUUCCUCUGAGUUCAGCUACAGGAGAAAAAAGAGGGAGCUACAACACUGCUGCUUCAACCUGCUGACCCCCCCACCCUGAAGCUCCACUCAGAGACAACAUGGCUUCCAGGUUAGAGGAAGACCUCUGCUGUCCGGUCUGUCAGGAAGUCUUUAGAGAUCCUGUCAUCCUGUCCUGCUGCCACAGCUUCUGUAGAGCCUGUCUGCAGAACUGGUGGAGAGAGAAGCCAACACGAGAGUGUCCAGUUUGUAGAAAAGAAUCUUCAAAAAAAAAACCCCCCUGUAACCUGGUGCUGAAGAACCUGUGUGAGGCCUUCUUACUGGAGAAAGGUCAGAGGUCUUCAGAGGCUCUCUGCAGUCUGCACUCUGAGAGACUCAGACUGUUCUGUCUGGACCAUCAGCAGCCAGUGUGUCUCGUCUGCAGAGAUUCAAGAACACACACCAACCACAGAAUCAGACCCGUGGAUGAAGCUGCUCAGGAUCUCAAAGAGGAGCUCCAGAAGUCUCUGCAGCCCUUACAGGAGAAACUGAAGCUCUUUGAAGAAGUUAAAGUGAAGUUUGAUCAGACAGCAGGACACAUGGAGGCCCAGGCCCGACGCACAGAGCUGCAGAUUAAGGAGCAGUUUAAGAAGCUUCACCAGUUUCUGGAAGAGGAAGAGGAGGCCAGGAUGGCUGCACUGAGGGAGGAAGAGGAGCAGAAGAGGAGGAUGAUGGAGGAGAAGAUGGAGGCUGUGAGCAGAGAGAUAGCAGCUCUUUCACACACAGUCAGAGCCACAGAGGAGGAGCUGAGAGCUGCAGACGUCUCCUUCCUGCACAACUACAAGGCUGCAGUGGAGAGGUUGCAGCGCCCCCUGCUGGAGGCUCCACAGCCGCCCUCAGGGGCUCUGAUAGACCAGGCCAAACACCUGGGCAACCUCAGCUUCAACAUCUGGAGCAAGAUGAAGGAUAUGGUGUCCUACUCUCCUCUCAUCCUGGACCCAAACACUGCUCCUCCAAAUCUCAUCCUGUCUGAAGAUCUGACCAGAGUGAGACGAGGAGGAGAGAGACAGAAACUUCCUGAUAAUCCAGAGAGGAUAGAUAAUUCCCGCAGUCUCCUGGGCUCUGAGGGCUUUACCUCAGGGACUCACAGCUGGGAUGUCCAGGUUACAGACUGUACAGUCUGGGUACUGGGUGUGUUAGCAGAGUCUGGUCAGAGGAAGGGAGUCAUAUGGUCUGGAUUAUGGAGAAUAGGUUUCUAUAAAGGUAAAUAUUAUGCAUGUUCUCCAUCAGAUCCACCCAUUCUUCUCCGCCUGCAGAAGAAGCUCCAGAGGGUCAGAGUGAAUCUGGACUGGAACAGAGGAAAGCUGUCGUUCUCUGAUCCUGACACUAACACACACAUACACACCUUCACACACACUUUCACUGAGAGGAUGUUUCCAUACAUUAGCACUGAGGAGGAAGUGAAGGUAUCACCAGUGGAGGUGUGUGUGACAGUGGGUCAGAGCAGCUAGAGAUGAACAGGAUCAUUAUAUCUAUGAGCUUUAUCUCUCAGAGGGCAUCACUCUGACCUCUGAAUCUGCUCCUGACCUCCUGCCGUCUCUUUAUUCUAAACAUGUCUUUGUUUUUGUCUCAUUUCUUCUUUAAUUGUUUUCUUUAUUUCAGCUGUUCUUUAGUUUGAUCAGCUUUGAGUUUUUUAUUAUCAACCUUUUUCUUUGGAUUCAAUCUUUACCCGUUAAAUCCUUUCACUCAUUUUCAGAUGCUUGUGUUUCACUAGAUCAACCUUUUCUUCUGUAUUAAAACUGUGAGAUUUUAAUUCGUUGUUCAUGAGUUAAAACUCUUGGGUUAUAACCCGAACCCUAGCCUCAGAGAUUUACAUUUUUCCGUUUGUGUUUGAAAUGUUCUUAAUGUGUGUUUUAUGUCAGCGUUGACAGACUUGGGUGCCACGCCUUAAAGCAUUUCAUAAACCCUGAUCUGUGUUCACGUUUCUAUCUGAAGUGAUGAAGAGCAGGUUUUCUUCUGCCUGAAACUAAGCUCCUUCCCUCCUCUUCUGAAGCGCCAUUAAAGGACGCCCAGUCAGUGGUGUGAAAUAUCCAAAGAGAGUGAACGUGAACAAACACGAGGAUCGAAUGGUGCCAUGUUUGGAGAAGUCUCUAGCGCUUGUUUCAGUUUGUCCCGGGUCUGCGUACAAUAAUCUUCAGAGGACCCUUCGCCCUCUAAAUGAAGAA